rnacentral:lncRNA from 1 species
UCUAUGAUAGUUCAUUAGAGAUCUAAUAAAUAUGAAAUUGAGAUUUGAUUCAUCAACUGUAUUUUGAAUUGUAGUGUCUUUUAUUUGUACGUCAAUGAUUAUUGCUGGUAAUGCAUGCGAUCGAUCUUGAUAAAGCUUAAUUAUCAAGUAGUCAACAAGCUUAAACCCCCAUGCAUCUAUUUGGAGCUAGUAGCAUGAAAAAGACAUAAGAGUUACAACUUUUCAGUUGUAGUUAUACUAUAUCGUUUGUCCCCGACGAAUUAUUAGUUUCUUAGACCAA